UACAGAGGGUGCAAGCGUUGUUCGGAAUUACUGGGCGUAAAGCGCGUGUAGGCUGCGGUGUAAGUCGGACGUGAAAGCCCUUGGCUUAACCAAGGAAGUGCAUCCGAUACUGCGUCGCUUGAGUGCCGGAGGGGAUGGCGGAAUUCCCGGUGUAGAGGUGAAAUUCGUAGAUAUCGGGAGGAACACCUGUGGCGAAGGCGGCCAUCUGGACGGUAACUGACGCUGAGACGCGAAAGCGUGGGUAGCAACAGG
rnacentral:rRNA from 1 species